rnacentral:rRNA from 1 species
UACGUAGGGUGCGAGCGUUGUCCGGAAUUACUGGGCGUAAAGAGCUCGUAGGCGGCCUGUCGCGUCUGCUGUGAAAUCCCGGGGCUCAACCCCGGGCGUGCAGUGGAUACGGGCUGGCUGGAGGCAGGCAGGGGAGAACGGAAUUCCUGGUGUAGCGGUGAAAUGCGCAGGAUAAUCAGGAGGAACACCGGUGGCGAAAGGGCGG